rnacentral:rRNA from 1 species
UACGUAGGGGGCAAGCGUUGUCCGGAAUCAUUGGGCGUAAAGAGCGUGUAAACGGUCCGGUAAGUCCGCUGUGAAAGUCGGGGGCUCAACCCUCGAAUGCCGGUGGAUACUGCCGAGCUUGAGUCCGGUAGGGGAGUGUGGAAUUCCCGGUGUAGCGGUGAAAUGCGCAGAUAUCGGGAGGAACACCCGUAGCGAAGGCGGCACUCUGGGCCGGUACUGACGCUGAGGAGCGAAAGCGUGGGGAGCAAACAGG